rnacentral:rRNA from 1 species
GACGAACCGAGCGAACGUUAUUCGGAAUCACUGGGCUUAAAGGGCGCGUAGGCGGGCAUUCAAGUCUGUGGUGAAAUCCGGCAGCUUAACUGUCGAAUUGCCAUGGAUACUGGGUGUCUCGAGGGAGGCAGGGGUGCGCGGAACUAAUGGUGGAGCGGUGAAAUGCGUUGAUAUCAUUAGGAACUCCGGUGGCGAAGGCGGCGCACUGGUCCUUUUCUGACGCUGAGGCGCGAAAGCCAGGGGAGCAAACGGG